AGAGUUUGAUCAUGGCUCAGAACGAACGCUGGCGGCGUGCCUAACACAUGCAAGUCGCGCGAGAAAGCGGGGGCAACUCCGUGAGUAAAGCGGCGCACGGGUGAGUAAUACGUAGGUAACCUACCUCCGAGACCGGGAUAACCCUCCGAAAGGAAGGCUAAUACUGGAUGAGACCACGGAGCCUCGGCUCUGCGGUCAAAGGUGGCCUCUACUUGUAAGCUACCACUCGAAGAUGGGCCUGCGCACCAUUAGCUAGUUGGCGAGGUAACGGCUCACCAAGGCGAAGAUGGUUAGCUGAUCUGAGAGGAUGAUCAGCCACACUGGGACUGAGACACGGCCCAGACUCCUACGGGAGGCAGCAGUGGGGAAUCUUGGACAAUGGGGGAAACCCUGAUCCAGCGACGCCGCGUGGGUGAUGAAGGCCUUCGGGUCGUAAAGCCCUGUCGGAGGGGAAGAAACUCUCGUCGGUGAACAAUCGGCGAGAUUGACGGUACCCUUAGAGGAAGCACCGGCUAACUCUGUGCCAGCAGCCGCGGUAAGACAGAGGGUGCAAGCGUUGUUCGGAAUUACUGGGCGUAAAGGGCGCGUAGGCGGUCCGCUAAGUUCGGCGUGAAAUCCCCUGGCUCAACUGGGGAACGGCGCUGGAUACUGGUGGACUCGAGUACCGGAGAGGAGAGUGGAAUUCCUGGUGUAGCGGUGAAAUGCGUAGAUAUCAGGAGGAACACCGGUGACGAAGGCGGCUCUCUGGACGGAUACUGACGCUGAGGCGCGAAAGCGUGGGGAUCAAACAGGAUUAGAUACCCCGGUAGUCC
rnacentral:rRNA from 1 species